rnacentral:lncRNA from 1 species
UGGGGAGCUUAGGUUGGACCUUCAUCUGGGCCAGUCGGCCCUCUGCUCGGAGCUUAGCGAAAAAGCAUUCUAGGAUCAUGGCUUGAUUGCCUCAGAUCUGCCCCACUCCAUGCCUGAUCAAAAAUUUUACCAUCAGUUGGUAUCUUGAUACAACAACUUUUAAAGUCUACAAGCUCAGACGGUCGAGGAUUGUGUUGUAGGCUGAAGGAAGCUUAACCACUAAGAAGUU